UCGAGGGGCAGCAGGGUGUAGCAAUACAUCGCUGGCGACCGGCGCACGGGUGCGUAGCACGUUUGCAACCUUUCCUCAACUGGGGAAUAGCUCCGAGAAAUCGGGAUUAAUACCCCAUAAUAUUACCGGGCGGCAUCGCCUGGCAAUUAAAGCUCCGGCGGUUGAGGGCGGGCAUGCGUCCCAUUAGCUAGUUGGCGAGGUAACGGCUCACCAAGGCUGUGAUCGGUAGCCGGUCUGAGAGGAUGGCCGGCCACACUGGAACUGAGACACGGCCCAGACUCCUACGGGAGGCAGCAGUGGGGAAUUGUUCGCAAUGGGCGCAAGCCUGACGACGCAACGCCGCGUGGAGGAUGAAGACCUUCGGGUCGUANACUCCUUUCGACCGAGAUGAACACCUGCGGGCUUAAUACACCAGCAGGUUGACAGUAUCGAGGGAAGCAGCCCCGGCUAACUCCGUG
rnacentral:rRNA from 1 species